rnacentral:rRNA from 1 species
CUGGUUGAUCCUGCCAGUAGUCAUAUGCUUGUCUCGCAGAUUAAGCCAUGCAUGUCUAAGUGUAAAUAGUUUACAGUGAAACUGCGGAUGGCUCAUUACAACAGUUAUUGUUUGCUUGGAGAAUUUUACUACGGAUAUCCGUGGAAAUCCUACAGUUAAUGCGUACCAGCUCUUCGGAGUGUUGCAUAUUACUGUGAACUUUUUACUUUUGGCUGGCAACAGUUCAAGAGUUUCCAAUGAACACUUUUAUGCGCGAAUCGUAUCUAGUAUACGAGAGUCCAUCAAAGUUUCUGACCCAUCAGGUUCCGACGGUAAGGUAUUGGCUUACCGUGCCUAUAACGGGUAACGGGGGAUUAGGGUUCGAUCCCGGAGAGGGAGCUUGAGAGAUAGCUACCACAUCUAAGGAAGGCAGCAGGCGCGUAAAUUACCUAUCCCUGACUCAGGGAGGUAGUAAACAGAAAUAAUGACGCAGGAUGAAAAUUCUUGCGAUCGGACUGAGUGGUUUCUAAGUCAAGCCAUGAACACGAUUGGAGGAAAAGUCUGGUGCCAGCACCCGCGGUAAUACCAGCUCCAAUAGCGUAUAUUAUUGAUGUUGCAGUUGAAACGUUCGUAGUCGAACUUUAUCCGCUGAAGCAUAUUGUCAUCUUUGAUGAUCAACUUGCUCACGGCGGAGAGUGUGCAAUCCUUGAGAGUUUCUCUUAAGGUUCUUUGCAUCUUACUUUGAGUGAAUCGGCGUGUUCCACGCAGGCAAGUGCCAUGAACGAUUUACCAUAGCAUAAAAAUAGUAUGAGAAAACUCCCUUAAAAAGUUCGGGGGUCUUUUCGAUACAGAAAAGAACGGUUGAGGGCAUUCGUAUUCAACUGCUGGAGGUGAAAUUCUUUGAUUAGUUGAGGACGAACCAUUGCGAAAGCAUCUGCCAAGGACGUUUCUUUUGAUCAAGAACGAAAGUUAGGCGAUCAAAGAUGAUUAGAUACCGUUGUAGUCCUAACCAUAAACUUUACUAUCCAAGAAUUGGAUUGGUGGUCUUACGCCUUUCCAGUGCUUUCUGAGAAAUCAUAAGUCUUUGAGUUCUGGGGGGAGUAUAGUUGCAAGGCCGAAACUUAAAGGAAUUGACGGAAGGGCACCACCAGGAGUGGAACUUGCGGCUUAAUUUGACUCAACACGGAAAAACUUACGAGGAUAAGACAGGCGAAGGAUUGACAGAUUGAUCGCUCUUUCUUGAUUGUCUGGGUGGUGGUGCAUGGCCGUUCUUUAGUUCGUGGAUUAAUUUGUCUGGUUAAUUCCGUUAACGAACGAGACCUUAACUUGCUAAUUAGAAUUGCACAUUACGUAUGUGACUAUUCUAUUAGAAGGACCAUGUGUGUCUAACACAAGGAAGCGUGAGGCAAUAACAGGUCUGUGAUGCCCUUAGAUAUCCUCGGCAGCACGCGUGUUACAAUGAUGCAUAUAAUGUGUUUACAUUCCCCGAAAGGGCAAUGGAAUCAUCAAUAUGCAUCAACCCAGGGAUUGCUUGUUGGAACGUCAAGCAUCAACGAGGAAUUCCUAGUAAGCGCGUAUCAUUAGUUCGCGUUGAUUACGUCCCUGCCCUUUGUACACACCGCCUGUCGCAUCUAUUGAUUAGGUUGUAUCAUGAGUUAGGUGGAGGAAAACAAGUUCCGUGAGGAGUUUGUGGUCCAAAGCUUUGCAAAUGGUACUGCCCAGAAACAGAUAAAGUCAUAACACGGCAGCUGUAGGUGAACCUGCAGAAGGAUCAAGGGCGAAUUCCACAG